AGCGAACGCUGGCGGCAGGCCUAACACAUGCAAGUCGAACGAACUCUUCGGAGUUAGUGGCGGACGGGUGAGUAACACGUGGGAACGUGACUUUUGGUUCGGAAUAACUCAGGGAAACUUGUGCUAAUACCGAAUGUGCCCUUCGGGGGAAAGAUUUAUCGCCAUUAGAGCGGCCCGCGUCUGAUUAGCUAGUUGGUGAG
rnacentral:rRNA from 1 species